GCGGGGGUUGCCAAGCCAGGUCAACGGCGCACGUCUCGUUUCCCUGUUCCUUAGGGAUCCGUGGGUUCAAAUCCCACCCCCCGCA
rnacentral:tRNA from 1 species